rnacentral:rRNA from 1 species
UACGGAGGGUGCGAGCGUUGUCCGGAAUCAUUGGGCGUAAAGGGCGCGUAGGUGGCCCGGUCAGUUCGUGGUGAAAGCGCGGGGCUCAACCCUGCGUCGGCCAUGAAUACUGCCGCGGCUGGAGCACUGUAGAGGCAGGCGGAAUUCCGGGUGUAGCGGUGGAAUGCGUAGAGAUCCGGAAGAACACCGGUGGCGAAAGCGGCGCACUGGACCACAACUGACGCUGAGGCGCGAAAGCUAGGGGAGCAACAGGG